CUUUGCCAAGUGUGAGUUAUGACAAACAAAAGGAUUCGGGAUUACUUUGUGUUUAUCAUGUUGUUAACUGGUAGAAUGAUCAUAUUGGACUAAAAGAACCUGGUGUUCAACACAAAUGAAGUAAUAAAGCAGACAACUGGAACCCGCCGGAUGCUUUCAAAUCAAGUUUCAUGCAUUCAGAAGCAUGUCCACCAUAUGAUUGCUGGAAUAGCUUUACCUUUGUUGCCACAAAAUAAAAAAAGAGCACUUACUUGAGUCUUUUGUUUUCAUUUAGUAUUGGAUGUAGCUUUCACUGAAGUAUUAACGCCUUUCGAAAAUUUAAAUGUGAUUGGUAAUUUUGCUUCAUUAACUAGACCAAAAGAGAAGAACCG